rnacentral:rRNA from 1 species
GACGAACGCUGGCGGCGUGCUUAACACAUGCAAGUCGAACGGAAAGGCCCUGCUUUUGUGGGGUGCUCGAGUGGCGAACGGGUGAGUAACACGUGAGUAACCUGCCCUUGACUUUGGGAUAACUUCAGGAAACUGGGGCUAAUACCGGAUAGGAGCUCCUGCUGCAUGGUGGGGGUUGGAAAGUUUGGGCGGUUGGGGAUGGACUCGCGGCUUAUGAGCUUGUUGGUGGGGUAGUGGCUUACCAAGGCUUUGACGGGUAGCCGGCCUGAGAGGGUGGACGGGGACAAUGGGCCUGAGAGACGGAGCAGUGGCGUACGGGAGGCAGCAGGGGAAAGUCUUGCGCAGUGGGCGGGAGUGUGUUACGGAGAUGUCCGGAUCGUAAUGACGGCUUACGGGUUAUAAACCGCUGUCGCCUGAGACGAAGCGUGAGUGACGGUAAUGAGUAAAGAAGCACCGGCUAACUACGUG